UCUGUACACUUUUCUGUGCUCUCUCCUUCUUUAAACAAGUGUCCGGCGUUAGAGUCUUCAUGUGCCUUUUGCUUGCUCCUAUGAGUGAGCAUCCGGCCUCACAGAAGAUCUGGCCAAAUAUGUGUUAUGUAUUAGGAAAUACGGUCCAAAU